rnacentral:rRNA from 1 species
UACGUAGGGUGCGAGCGUUAAUCGGAAUUACUGGGCGUAAAGCGUGCGCAGGCGGUUUUGUAAGCCGGAUGGGAAAUCCCCGGGCUUAACCUGGGAAUGGCAUUCGGGACUGCAAGGCUGGAGUGCGGCAGAGGAGACUGGAAUUCCUGGUGUAGCAGUGAAAUGCGUAGAGAUCGGCAGGAACACCAGUGGCGAAGGCGGCCACCUAGCCCGCACCUGACGCUGAGGCGCGACAGCGUGGGGAGCGAACUGG